AUCCUGGCUCAGGAUGAACGCUGGCGGCGUGCUUAACACAUGCAAGUCGAACGAAGCACUUUUCAUUGGAGAUUCGUCGAAGAUGGGAAUUGACUUAGUGGCGGACGGGUGAGUAAUGUGUGAGCAACCUGCCUUUCAGAGGGGGACAACAGUUGGAAACGACUGCUAAUACCGCAUAAUGUAUUUGGACGGCAUCGUCCGGAUACCAAAGGAGCAAUCCGCUGAAAGAUGGGCUCACAUCUGAUUAGCUAGUUGGUGGGGUAACGGCCUACCAAGGCUGCGAUCAGUAGCCGGACUGAGAGGUUGAACGGCCACAUUGGGACUGAGAUACGGCCCAGACUCCUACGGGAGGCAGCAGUGGGGAAUAUUGGGCAAUGGGCGAAAGCCUGACCCAGCAACGCCGCGUGAAGGAAGAAGGUCUUCGGAUUGUAAACUUCUUUUAUGAGGGACGAAGGACGUGACGGUACCUCAUGAAUAAGCCACGGCUAACUACGUGCC
rnacentral:rRNA from 1 species